rnacentral:lncRNA from 1 species
GUAAAAAUAAAAUAAAAUAACAUUAAUGAAGUUCUUUUCAAUUUUCUGACCUAAUCAUUAUGAAAUUUCUAAUGGCCGACCAAUUCUGCACUUGAAUUCAUCUAAUUCUGUCUUCUUCUAGUCCCCAAUUCAAGUUUCUUUCAUCUGUCUAAUAGUUAAGUUCUUUCUGCUGCAAAGUUUUUCACAAAAAAAAAAAAAAAAAUCUUCCCUCCACAUGCGACGGCAACCACCAAUUCAAGUUUUGGAAUUAUUAUGUUUUGAAUCAUGAUUUCAAUUGCAAAUUUAAUGUUUGGAAUCAAUUCACUUUUCUGUCUUUCAUCUUGGCUUCGGCAGUCGGCAAAUCCAUGGCAAUAUGUAAUAUACAAUUGCUCUAUAUAUAUCAAUUCACUUUUCUGUCUUGCGUCUUGGCUUCGGCAGUCUUCUCAUCUGGGCAUCGCAGAGAUGCUUUUUAUUUUGGCUUUGAGAAGUUUAUUUGGCUCCAGUAUUAUGGUGGAGACCUUGAGGAUGUUUUAACCUUUGACUUUGAUAAGAGAAUAUUUUCUUAACUGGUGCAUAGUGGCAGUUUAGUGAACAAAAUGGAAUUUUAUGGAUGCAAAAUUUUAAAAAUCCAACAGACUAUUUAAGAGAAUUGCGAAUAGGCUUUGAUUAGGGUUUUAAAAUAGGACCAAGAUGAGAAGCCUACUUACUGGAAUUCGAAGAGAAUUAUUUAGGGUUUUCUGAUAUGCGCCGCAGGUACAAGAAGUAGAUGGGGGCUCUUGAUGUAAAUUGCUAAUUUCCUAGCCCCUAUUUGCAAUUACAGAUUGGGGGUUAAGUUUGUAAAUAAUAAGAGAAGGGUCUACUUGCAAUUUAAGAAACUAAAGGAUCUGGUUUUAAUUUUAGACAUGUGGUCAAAGUGCAAUUUUCAAAAGUGAUUGAAUUUGAAUUUUGAAAUUGGAUUUAGAAGUCCUUACUCCAAUAUUUCAAUUUUGACCCAAUUGAAAUUUUAUUUAAACUUGACCCGAUUAAAAUUAUAUGUUGAAUAAAUAAUAAAAUUUAAUUGACG